rnacentral:lncRNA from 1 species
CGUGCUUUUGUCUCCCAGGAGGAACUGCCGGAGCCCUUUGAGCAUCUUCUGCAGAGAAUCGCCCGGAGACCCAAGCCUCAGCAGUUCUUUGGAUUAAUGGGCAAACGGGAUGCUGUUCCUCAAUUGAAAAACAAGUGGCCCUGUUAAAGGCUCUUUAUGACAUGGCCAGAUCUCUCACAAAAACAUAAAACAGAUUCCUUUGUUGGACUAAUGGGCAAAAGAGCUUUAAAUUCUGGGCUUAUGAAAGGAGUGCAAUGCA